rfam:Oikopleura dioica, whole genome shotgun assembly, reference scaffold set, scaffold scaffold_13
GCAACGUUGGUUCAGUGGUAGAAUUCUCGCCUGCCACGCGGGAGGCCCGGGUUCGAUUCCCGGACGUUGCA